UGCUGUUGCUGCAGCAUCAUAUAUUUAAUAAAUCAUAGAUAGUAACAGAGUCAAGAGUGGAAUCUGAUAUUUAACCCCCAAAUUCUUAUUUUAUACAUCACACAGUAUUAGACUGAGGAAGGAUUUUGUAGAUGGAAAUUAUGAGCUCCUUUUGAACAUUUUAAAGCAUUUAUAUCGAAUUCUGCUGCUGUCUUGAGAUGCUGUGCGUUUAAGCACUAACCUUCCUAAAACUCUCUUUAAGUAGAUAUCACCCCCACUUUAUGAAAAUGGGGAUCAGUUUUGUGGUUUGCU
rnacentral:lncRNA from 1 species